GGCGGAUCGUGCCAAGGUAUCCGCGACAUUUCAUAAACACGAAAUCAAUUUUAAUCCUCGCCGAGUGAGUCUGUCCUUCUCGCCUGGUCUGAACGGUGCUUAUUUAUAAGCACAACCGGGCCACUUCCUGCACGGGAUCAUGCCGCGAAUCUCGCAUCCUUGUGAUCGCUUUGUAACCGGGGAACAUCGCACGUUAAUAGACUCUGUGUUGUAUAUUUGUCUUUCUGUACAUUCAUCGCGAGAUUAUCACGGGAAAUGGCAAACUUUGUGACGAUACUUGAGUGCAAUUCAAGGUCACUUGGUGAGGAUAAAUCGUUAUAGGUUAUGAUGUUCAUGUUAGGUCAUCUGUUAACCAGAAAUUUCUAUAAUUAUGAAAUUGGAGGAAUAAAAGAAAUUUUUCAAAUAACUUUAAAAAAUAAAAAAUCCAUAAAUAAAAAAGUUAUUAGUAAGAAAUUGUAGCAAUAAAUCCGUUUUUUGUCUUAAUCGUUAAAAGUGUAAAAUACAAGAUUUGAAAAAGACAAUUUUUGGUACUAUUAGUAUUAAGAAGCUUUUUAGCUUCCAUAUUUGAAAGAGGUAAGGGUAAAGGGGGAUAAACUGUAUCGAUUAAUAUGGAAUUAUGGCAUUCUUUGUUUUCCUUGUGUGAUACUUAUGUCGUUAGUGUUACCGUUUUCUUGUUUUUAAUAUAGCUUAUGUUACACAGAGGGAGAUGUAAUCUUAUAGGUUAUGUUUGAUAAUUAAAGGGGAAUUGACGAGUAGGUAUUGGGUAGUGAAACCUAAUGUUAUAAUUAUUAAGCAUUGAAAAGUUAGAAUUAUUAAGUUCUUGAAGAAUCGGGUUACCUUCCUACAAAUGUGUGUGAGUAUACUGAAUUACGAAUCUUUGAUUCUUUCUAUCGAUAUUUCUAUAUUUUCUCUAGUAAAGUUUAAACUUUUACUAGCUAAUAAUAAAAAACGAUGUAUUUGAAAACUAAUUUUGCAUAAACAUUAAAGUGGUAAAUUAAUACAAAACGAUCAGUGGAUGUUGUAAGAUCGUUGAACUUGAACUUGAACUUGCUGGCGGGUACAAGCAGAUGGCAGACAAAAGGUGUGAUUUUGAUUAGAAAAAUUAAGUUCACCAAGGUAUCAAUCUUUAUGAGAAGCAAAAAUGACUUCGAAAUUAGGUUUAAUGCUAGUGUUUCUCUCUAUAUUAUUAACGUUAAUUCUCUGUUCAUAAAACGUGUAAUACACCUUUCUGAAGUCCACGACUUUAUUGCUCCCUUACGUUCACUUUAAUCUCACUAAUCCAUCAUCAAUCUUUCCGCUGCAAAAAUGCAUAGUUAUUUUUUAUAUACAUUCAAACGUUUCUUAAUAUUUACAAACAAUGUUCAUAAAUCAUGGAUAUCUUAAAAAUAAAAAAUUGGAGAAAUAGUUAUGAGAACUUUAUAAAAUUUGUAUACAAAAUUGUCAAUAUAAAAGAAAGAAUUUAUUUUACUAGUAAACAUAAAUCUUUUUUGAAAAUUCACUAUCACGUUCCGAACGACAAUAGAACACCUCAAUUUCGCCCAACAAUUUAUUUCCACCAAUCCACUGAAUGGCUCUCGCAUACGUCUUCGUUCCGGUACUUCCGUCGCCGCAUCCGUCGAAGACCAGUGCCACUGUCACUCACCUGCCGAGCUCGGUGUAGCUAGAAAAUUUAAUUAAAGCCGCACGUGGCCGUAAAUUAUCCUGCUAUCGACAGGGAUACCGGAUCGUGGUGGCGGCUGUAACUUCCACAACAAGAAAAAGAAAAGAACGAAGAAUAAGUGUGGAAAAGAAACAAACGAAACGUGCCUAUAUGUUUGUCUGUGUUUGUGUAUGGACACAUCGUGCCCGCCGUGUACAUUGUGUAGUUGUAUAUACUUGCAUAUGUAUAAAUGCUUGUGUAUAUUUGAGUAUGCUGUGUGUGGCUUCCUAUAUAUGUGUAUUUGUCCUAUAUAUGUGCAGAUGUCAUAGAUGCUUAUGUAUAGUAACCUUACUACAUACAUGGUACUAUCCUUAUUGUAUAUACUUGUAAUGCUUGUGUUACAUGUAUUUGUAUAUUCUUCUUUGUAAUAUAAAAAUUUAUCCAUGAUAUCAUGCGUUUGUGCAUAUUUCUAUACGCCACAAAUAUUUGUAUUUUGUUAUCAAUGUUUAUGUACACAUGUUCAUACGUU